AAGGGCUAUUUUGAUAGAAUAGAUCAUGUAUUUGUACCUUUAUUUAUAAAUAAUAGAAUUACACUAUUUCUGUUAAAUUCAAAAUUUAAUGUUCAUUUAAACUAAUUUAUAAAUUUUAUCGGGCUAGCCCAGCCCCCGCACACUUAGUAUAAAGGUAAGCUAAAUAAGCUAAAGGGUUCAUACCCCUUCUAUAAGAGUCAAAUCUCUUCCUUUUUAAUGUUCUUUAAAAAUUAUCAAUUAACAUUUAUAACUACUACAUUUUUAGGUACUUUAAUGGCGGUAUCGUCUAAUUAAUGAAUUCUUUGCUGGAUCGGCCUAGAGAUUAACCUAAUGAGAUUUAUUCCUUUAAUUUUAAGAGACCUUAAUUUUAAAUCUACAGAGACAGCAAUCAAAUAUUUUUUAACCCAAGCAGUAGCUUCUGUAAUUCUAAUUACAGCUGCAUCCUUUACCCUUCAAAUAAAAAAUUAUUAUUUAGAAAAAAUAAACUUUUUUUAAAUUUUUAACCCUGUCUAUUAAAGCAGGCAUAGCCCCCUUCCAUAUCUGAUUUCCUCCAGCGAAUACAGAUCACUUAAAGAAGGAUGAAGAUAUGGUUAUUGUUUCAGUAUAGGGAAAUGGGGUUCCAAAUGCUGUGAUUGGCUGACGGUUUUUAUGGGCAUCCGCCCAUAAAAACAGGGCCGUGGCACAACUCAAUUUUUCCCAAUCUCAAUUUCCCCAUUACUUGGAAAUCUCACUCCUUUCUUGGCACCAAAAUCAGGUGUCUCCUUUACCAUCAUUCUUGCUGCCAAACUCGGAAAAGCUGAGUAAUUAAAAGAUUAUUUAAUAUCCUACAAAUUAAUUUUCUGACAUCCACUCAAUUACAUAAAUCGCUUCAACUCACCACAAGUUAAGCUCUAAGCUUCAACUCUCGGUAACUGCUAAGGACAAUUUUUCAUCCAUUAAUUUUGCGACCUCUCUGCCGUGCCCCCACCAGAAAUCUGUGUCAUCGCCGGCCAACCUUGUAAAUAACAACUUUAACUGGAUUCUGCAACAAUAAGGACCAAGGAACUUGUAUUUCGUAAUGCACUAUAUUUUAUUGAAGUAUAGACUCAUCAAUUACCAUUAGUUGUUGUUCGUGACCUGGUAACAGUGUGAAAUUGUCGGAAACUUAAAGUUUUACAAGAUUCAAAAAUAGUUUCUCAUAUAAUGAACGAUAUAAUAUUUGUGCCAAUUGUUACUCAAUAUUGUGACCUAUUGCCCCUUCCUCCACCAGAUCCGUGUCUCCACCGGUCAAUUUAUCUGAUCUAUCAGUGUUCACCUAUUUGGCCAAACAAGGGUACUUAAAGCAAUGUGACUUUGUCAAGACUAUUAAAAAACUUUCAAAACUUCGCUUAAGACUCAUCAAUUACUAUGAGACCUUGUUCGUGACUCGGGAAUAGUGUGAAAUUCUCAGGAACUUCAGUAAAGUUUACCAGGUUCAACCAUAAUAUUAAAAUAAUAGUUUCUUAUCUCCAAAAAUUAAAAAAGCAACGAACAGUGGACACACACAUGUAUAUGGUGGAAACACGUUUAUUUUAAUUACUGAUUCGCCUUCAUGUACUCAAAUUCAGUGUGACUUUAUCAAAACCUUCUUCAAAAUCUUCUUAAAAUAAACAAUUAACGGUGGAGACACAUAAAUAUGGAAAUCCAGUUGCUCAAAACAUUUAUUUGAAUUUAAUAAACCGUCGUUUGUCACGGUCCGAAAUAUAAAGUGUUGCGGUACUAAUUGUGAUAAUUCUUGAAACCAAGAAAAUCGUAAUUACUCCUUUCUGCCAAAGCGUCAGGUUCCAGCAGUGGUGUAAAAUUCUCGACAUCGAUAAGGAAAACGUAUCACCUAAAACUGUCGUUUGCAGCCUUUUAGCCACCUUCAAGAAAUUUCUCAAAGAGUUUUACCGACCUCUCCACCCCAUUCGUGUCUUCACCAUUGUCUGUGUCUCCACCGAAAGGGGGGUGGGUUAAUUUAUCCUUUAUAUGAACAAGAAGAUAAAGAUUAGAAAUAAGUUUCACUACAGUUUGAAGUAGAAGAACCAGAACCACAUUCAACUGUUUCCAUUUUCCUUAUAUACUCAAGGCACGAAAAUUAUUGCUACUAUUUAUAAUAAAAUAUUUUGCAACCGGGAAAUUAUUUCGAUGUUUGUAAAAUUAAAGUAAAAUUGUAUUUAUGCUAAAUCAAUUUUUGUUGCAAUAAAUUUGGUUGUAAAUCUGCAUCACAACAACUUUCAGUUUUUAAUUAAUUAUUCGAACUUAGAAAGUCGCAAAAAUUCUCCAUUCGAGAUGACGAAAAUCUGUACAAAAAUUAAGUCACAUUAAAUCCUGAGCAUGGUUGUAAAACUGCUCUGACAUAUCUUGUCGUUAAACUUACUUAAUAAUUGAUGAUGGUGGGUGGGUGUGGUAGACACCGAAGCACGAAAAACUGUUUUUUUGUUCUGGGACGUAAAAUAUAAAGUGUGAUGAGA